rnacentral:lncRNA from 1 species
GAUGAUGUACUGUGUAUGCACUGUUCUCCACUCAUGAAUGAUUAAACUGUGCUAGUAAUGUGAUUGAUAUAGUUCGUGUUGUUGCUUGUUGUGUCACUGAGACUUAUUGUUUGUUUGUCUUUUUAAUUUGUUACUUGUACUCUUGAGAUUACAUAAAUUAUAUUAAAAUUGUUGAGAGUACUUUUUGUUUCUGGAUAUUUUUUCACCAGUUUAGUUGUGUAAGUUGUGUGUAUUAAGUAAUAAUUUUU